rnacentral:rRNA from 1 species
GGGCGUCAAGCCUGAUGCUAGCCAUGCCGCGUGUAUGUAAGAAGGCCUUCGGGUUGUAAAGUACUUUCAGCAGUGAGGAAGUGGAUAUGUUAAUAGCAUAUUCAUUUGACGUUAGCUGCAGAAGAAGCACCGGCUAACUCCGUGCCAGCAGCCGCGGUAAUACGGAGGGUGCGAGCGUUAAUCGGAAUUACUGGGCGUAAAAGCGCAUGCAGGUGGUUGUUAAGUCAGAUGUGAAAGCCCGGGGCUCAACCUCGGAAUUGCAUUUGAAACUGGCAAACUAGAGUACUGUAGAGGGGGUAGAAUUUCAGGUGUAGCGGUGAAAUAGCGUAGAGAUCUGAAGGAAUACCGGUGGCGAAGGCGGCCCCCUGGACAGAUACUGACACUCAGAUGCGAAAGCGUGGGGAGCAAACAGGAUUAGAUACCCUGGUAG